AUUGAACGCUGGCGGCAGGCCUAACACAUGCAAGUCGAGCGGAUGAAGGGAGCUUGCUCCUGGAUUCAGCGGCGGACGGGUGAGUAAUGCCUAGGAAUCUGCCUGGUAGUGGGGGAUAACGUCCGGAAACGGGCGCUAAUACCGCAUACGUCCUGAGGGAGAAAGUGGGGGAUCUUCGGACCUCACGCUAUCAGAUGAGCCUAGGUCGGAUUAGCUAGUUGGUGGGGUAAAGGCCUACCAAGGCGACGAUCCGUAACUGGUCUGAGAGGAUGAUCAGUCACACUGGAACUGAGACACGGUCCAGACUCCUACGGGAGGCAGCAGUGGGGAAUAUUGGACAAUGGGCGAGAGCCUGAUCCAGCCACGCCGCGUGUGUGAAGAAGGUCUUCGGAUUGUAAAGCACUUUAAGUUGGGAGGAAGGGCAGUAAGUUAAUACCUUGCUGUUUUGACGUUACCAACAGAAUAAGCACCGGCUAACUUCGUG
rnacentral:rRNA from 1 species